rnacentral:ncRNA from 1 species
AAAAAGUAUGCCCCGACGUCUAAAAGCUGUUAUUGAAGCUAAGGGCGGCCCCACCAAAUAUUGAAAUCAGAAAAAAUUGGGGACAAUAAGUUUUUUUCGUACAAAAUAUAAAGUGUCCGAAUAAUUGUUGUGCGUAAAAAAGUGGCUUUUUUGAUACUUUUAAUUUUUUUUGAUACGCCAAAGAAGUUUUUUUUUGUUUUUAGUUUUGAAAUUAGUAGUAAUAAUAUCCAUGUUCAUAAUGAAAUAAAAAUUUUUUGUCAAACUUAAAUACUUUUCAAGUUAUUUAUAAAGAAAGUUGACAUAGACGAGUGUCCGAAUAAAUGUUGUGCUGACUGUAAGUGGAGCCGUACCUGUUGGUUUGUCCCAUUAUAAGGACACUAGCUUCUUAAAUGGACAAAUUGCGUCUAGCAAUAAUGAGAUUGAGCAAUAACAGGUCUGUGAUGCCCUUAGAUGUCCUGGGCUGCACGCGCGCUACAAUGAAAGUAUCAACGUGUAUUUCCUAGACCGAGAGGUCCGGGUAAACCGCUGAACCACUUUCAUGCUUGGGAUUGUGAACUGAAACUGUUCACAUGAACUUGGAAUUCCCAGUAAGUGUGAGUCAUUAACUCGCAUUGAUUACGUCCCUGCCCUUUGGACACACCGCCCGUCGCUACUACCGAUUGAAUUAUUUAGUGAGGUCUCCGGACGUGAU